GUGAGUCAUCGAAUCUUUGAACGCACCUUGCGCUCCUUGGUAUUCCGAGGAGCAUGCCUGUUUGAGUGUCAUUAAUACAUAUAUCAACCUUCCCUUUUUGGUGAAUGGCUUGGAUGUGGGGGUUUGCUGGCCUCUAAAAAGUUCAGCUCCCCUGAAAUGCAUUAGCGGAACAACCUGGUUCAUUGGUGUGAUAAAUAUCUAUGCCGCUGAAUGUGAGGGGCAGUUCAGCUUUCUAACCGUCCUUGGACAGAUCAUCAUUAAUGUGACCUCAAAUCAGGUAGGACUACCCGCUGAACUUAA
rnacentral:rRNA from 1 species